rnacentral:rRNA from 1 species
GGCUCAGAAUGAACGCUGGCGGCGCGCCUAAUACAUGCAAGUCGAGCGAGAAGGUGUAGCAAUACACUUGUAAAGCGGCGAACGGGUGAGGAAUACAUGGGUAAUCUACCAUCGAGUGGGGAAUAACCAGCCGAAAGGUUGGCUAAUACCGCGUACGCCUCCGGAUCUUCGGGUUCGGAGGGAAAGCCACACUGUGAGUGCGGCGCUCUUUGAUGAGCUCAUGUCCUAUCAGCUUGUUGGUAGGGUAACGGCCUACCAAGGCUUUGACGGGUAGCUGGUCUGAGAGGACGAUCAGCCACACUGGCACUGCGACACGGGCCAGACUCCUACGGGAGGCAGCAGUAAGGAAUAUUGCGCAAUGGACGAAAGUCUGACGCAGCGACGCCGCGUGGGGGAUGAAGGUCUUCGGAUUGUAAACCCCUUUCGGGAGGGAAGAUGGAGUGGGUAACCACUUGGACGGUACCUCCAGAAGCAGCCACGGCUAACUUCGUGCCAGCAGCCGCGGUAAUACGAAGGUGGCAAGCGUUGUUCGGAUUCACUGGGCGUACAGGGAGCGUAGGCGGUUGGGUAAGCCCUCCGUGAAAUCUCCGGGCCUAACCCGGAAAGUGCAGAGGGGACUGCUCAGCUAGAGGAUGGGAGAGGAGCGCGGAAUUCCCGGUGUAGCGGUGAAAUGCGUAGAGA